UUUCCGGAAUUACUGGGGCGUAAAGCGUCCGUAGGCGGUUUGUUAAGUCAGAUGUGAAAUCCCCGGAGCUCAACCUUGGAACUGCAUUUGAAACUGGCUAGCUUGAGUACUGUAGAGGUAAGUAGAAUUUCUGGUGUAGCGGUGAAAUGCGUAGAUAUCUGAAGGAACACCUGUGGCGAAGGCGGCUUCCUGGUCUGAUACUGACGCUCAUGUACGAAAGCGUGGGGAGCAAACAGGAUUAGAUACCCUGGUAGUCCACGCCGUAAACGAUGUCUACUAGAUGGUGGAUGUUCUUGCGCUUUGGUUUCCUCACCUAACCUGUUAACUUUACCCCCGGGGGAUAACGGCUCGCAAGGAUAGAACCUCAAAGGAAAUUUGACGG
rnacentral:rRNA from 1 species